UUCAGGCUGUGAUUUCCCAUACACCUAGGGAGGUGAAACUGUGAACUGCCAGUCUGUCCUGCUAAUAGGGCCCAUACACUCCGCUUUGCUCGAGAGCUGCUUUUAAACUUGGGUGCUUGCCCUGGCUCCUUGGGAUCUGCAGCCUGCUGCAGUAGAAGAGCUAUGUACUAAUAAGUUCCCAUGAAUAUGCCUUGCUGAAUCAGAAGAGCAGCUCAUCUGCAGCAGGGAGAGCAGGAGGCACUUCUGUUGAAGACUAAAAAGCACAAGCCUACCUCCACUCCAGUCUGUGGGACACAGACUCCUGUAAGGCAUCCUCAGGCAUACAGUUUAAGAGGCAGAAAGCCAAGACUCUACCUGCAGGAUACCAGGUCACACUGGUUCUGAUGAGCUGAGGGCUGGAAACAUUGGAAAACAACAUCUGAAGAAGAGCGAUGGGAACAGAACAUUCUUUGCAUGAGAAGGCUUCAUCAGCUAUACAAAGAAACAGCAUGGCUAAUUGGUUAGGGCUGCUAUAAUUGCUGCUGGUUUGUGUGCUGGUGUGUUCUCCCCCUUCCCCCUAGUACUAAUUUUGAAGCAGUUGUUUAAAGUAACAUUUGAGCCACUUUACACACAACGUCACAUCCAAUAGGCCCUUAAGCAUUUACCAAAUAUAAAACACAGUGGAAAGAUCUUUUUGCAUACCUGUCAGCUUACCCACUAUGGACGGUCCAGCUCUCCUGGCUGGUCAAACUAAGAGAUCUUCCAGACCUCCAUAUUUCCCUGCUGGCACUUGUGUCUGAGCUCAGUGCUUCUCAGCAGUACAUGGGUAGGGCACCAGUAGAGGCUUGCUGGGAUGUCACACCAUCAGUGCAGGUAGCACAGACCCAGCCUUUUGUUGCUCAGCUUCCUUGAGCCUGGUGCUGGUUGCACACUUCCCUAGAACUUGUGUCAGGAUGAUUGCAUUCUCCACUAUGUUAAUCAACUAAGACAGUGCAAGUGAGUUAAAAAAGGAGUGUAAAUAAUCUCUUCCAGACAUUACCUUCCUGUUUGAAUUCCCACAGCUUAAUGUGUCUGCAUUAUGUAACCAACAUCUGACCUAAGGCCUUAGCCACCAAAAUAGAGGAAGAACUUCAUUGUUUGCAUUUAAUUAUCAUACAUUCUCUCAGAAUCAUUUUGAAAUGGCUAUUUCAAAAGAUUUUGCCUCA